rnacentral:rRNA from 1 species
GACGGAGGAUGCAAGUGUUAUCCGGAAUCACUGGGCGUAAAGCGUCUGUAGGUGGUUUAAUUAAGUCAACUGUUAAAUCUUGAGGCUCAACUUCAAAAUCGCAGUCGAAACUAUUAGACGUAGAGUAUAGUAGGGGUAAAGGGAAUUUCCAGUGGAGCGGUGAAAUGACGUAGAGAUUGGAAAGAACACCAAUGGCGAAAGCACUUUACUGGGCUAUCACUGACACUGAGAGACGAAAGCUAGGGUAGCAAAUGGG